GCCUAUGAUGAUGUCAUCCAAUUAGUUGAGGUGUAGUGGAACUGAGACCCUGUUUACAGGGAGAAGAACCCCUUUGAGAAACUGUAUUCGCAUGACAAUAAUGGAUCUGACUGAAGC